rnacentral:rRNA from 1 species
AUGCGGAACCUCAACAAGGCCCUCGCAGCGGCUGGCCUUGGCGGCAUCAAGGUGUCCACCGCGGUGAGGUUCAACGUGCUCACCAACUCCUUCCCGCCCUCCGCCGCCGUGUUCGCUCAGCCCUACAUGGUCGACAUCGCCCGGCACCUGGCCAGCACCAGGGCACAGCUACUCGCCAACGUGUACCCGUACUUUGCCUACAGCAACAACCCGAGGGACAUCAAGCUCGACUACGCGACGUUCCAGCCGGGCGCCACACCGGUGAGGGACGCCGACAGCGGGCUCGUCUACAAGAACCUCUUCAGCGCCAUGGUCGAUGCCAUGUACGCGGCGCUGAAGAAGGCGGGGGCGCCGAGCGUGAGGGUGGUAGUGUCGGAGAGCGGGUGGCCAUCCGCCGGCGGGCUCGCGGCGACACCGGAGAAUGCGCGGGCGUACAACCAGGGCCUCAUCAACCAUGUGGCACACGGCACGCCCAAGAAGCCUGGGCCCAUGGAGGCGUACGUGUUCGCCAUGUUCAAGGAGAACCAGAAGCCCGGGGUUGAGACUGAGAGGCACUUUGGGCUCUUCUAUCCCAACAAAACGCGGGUGUACCCCAUCAAUUUCAGAGGAAUAUUGGUUGCGGCCAACCACACAAACUCCCAUGGGCUUGGUGGACACUAG